rnacentral:rRNA from 1 species
UACGGAGGGUGCAAGCGUUAUCCGGAUUUACUGGGUUUAAAGGGUGUGUAGGCGGGUCUUUAAGUCAGUGGUGAAAUCUCCGAGCUCAACUUGGAAACUGCCAUUGAUACUAUUGAUCUUGAAUUUUGUUGAGGUAGGCGGAAUAUGUCAUGUAGCGGUGAAAUGCAUAGAUAUGACAUAGAACACCUAUUGCGAAGGCAGCUAACUACGCGAAUAUUGACGCUGAGGCACGAAAGCGUGGGGAUCAAACAGG